rnacentral:rRNA from 1 species
GCCUGAGAAACGGCUACCACAUCCAAGGAAGGCAGCAGCACGCAAAUUACCCAAUCCCAGCUCUGGGAGGUAGUGACGAAAAAUAACAAUGCGGGACUCUUCAGAGUCUGCGUAAUUGGAAUGAGCACACUUUAAAUCCUUUAGCAACAACCAAUUGGAGGGCAAGUCUGGUGCCAGCAGCCGCGGUAAUUCCAGCUCCAAUAGCGUAUAUUAAAGUUGUUGCGGUUAAAAAGCUCGUAGUUUGAGCUCAGUUCCGGACUGGCUGGGGAGGUCACCGCCCGGUGCUUCCCCGUCAGGCUCCGAACAGCUUUCAUGACUGAAAGCCAAGUCGGUUUCGCCGGGGUGCUCUUCAUCGAGUGUCCCGCGCGGCCGGCCAGUUCACCUUGAAUAAAUUAGAGUGCUCAAAGCAGGCUACUCUUAAAAAUAAAGCCCGAAUGUUACCUGCAUGGAAUGAUGGAAGAUGAUCUCGGUUCCAUUUUGUUGGCUCUGGGAAUCCGAGUUAAUGAUAAAUAGGGACUGUCGGGGGCAUCCGAACUACGACGCGAGAGGUGAAAUUCAGUGACCGUCGUAGGACGAACAACAGCGAAGGCAUUUGUCAAGCAUGUCUUCAUUGAUCAAGAACGAAAGUUAGAGGAUCGAAGGCGAUCAGAUACCGCCCUAGUUCUAACCGUAAACGAUGCUGACUAGCAUUCCGCCGUCGUUAUUCCCAUGACGUGGCGGGGAGCCCCCGGGAAACCUCAAGUCUUUGAGUUCCGGGGGUAGUAUGGUUGCAAAACUGAAACUUAAAGGAAUUGACGGAAGGGCACCACCAGGAGUGGAGCCUGCGGCUUAAUUUGACUCAACACGGGAAACCUCACCAGGCCCGGACACCAGCAGGAUUGACAGAUUAAGAGCUCUUUCUCGAUUUGGUGGGUGGUGGUGCAUGGCCGUUCUUAGUUGGUGGAGCGAUUUGUCUGGUUAAUUCCGGUAACGAACGAGACUCUGGCCUACUAAAUAGUCGACGCGGGUUUUUGUGCAUGGGCCCCGCUCGACACAAGGUCUUCUUAGAGGGAUGAGCAGCGAGUAUAGCUGCAGGAGAUUGAGCAAUAACAGGUCUGUGAUGCCCUUAGAUGUCCUGGGCCGCACGCGCGCUACACUGAAUGGGUUAGCGGGUUAUCCUUCUCCGAGAGGAGCGGGCAAUCGCUUGAAAACCAUUCGUGAUAGGGAUUGGGGCUUGCAAUUGUUUCCCAUGAACGAGGAAUGCCUAGUAAGCGCAAGUCAUCAGCUUGCGUUGAUUAAGUCCCUGCCCUUUGUACACACCGCCCGUCGCUACUACCGAUUGAAUGAUUUAGUGAGGCCUUCGGACUGGCGGUCCUGGACUGGGCUCCGCUCGCCGCUCCGGCGGCUUCGGGCCCGCCACUACGAGCCGGAAAGAUGUCCAAACUUGAUCAUUAGAGGAAGUA